rnacentral:lncRNA from 1 species
AACCAUUCCAUGAUUUUAUGAUGCUUAGCUCCUGUCAUAAAGUUGGGGUUCUCUUCCCACCACUCCCAUCAAAGGGAUGCUGGGAGAGAGCUGGAAAUGGAGGAAUUUUUAGCAGUUUCUCCCUGUGCAUUUAAGCACCUGCUUCCAUCUUUCCCCUUUCCUGGGAGUAAAGCUUGGGCUCAGCACCACAAAGCAAUCACUGCAGCGGGACAAACCAAACCAGGAGCCUCCCCUCAGAGUGCAGCACGGUCUGGGGCUCUGCUUAUCCUAGGUUCAUUUUUCAGUGGGUUAGUGCUGGAGCUGGAAAUCCCUUUCCAAAAGGGAAUUAAGAAGCCCUGCCUCCAGCUGGGAAGCUGCUGGAGAGAACAAACACACAGCAGUGCACAAAUCAGGAGGAAACUGGUAACAGAGUUGGAGCUCGACUUCCAGACAGAUCUCAGGGGAUGGUGUUGA